GUGAACCUUUACUAUAGCUUGACACUGAACAUUGAGCCUUGAUGUGUAGGAUAGGUGGGAGGCUUUGAAGCGUGGACGCCAGUCUGCGUGGAGCCAACCUUGAAAUACCACCCUUUAAUGUUUGAUGUUCUAACGUUGGCCCCUGACCGGGGUUGCGGACAGUGUCUGGUGGGUAGUUUGACUGGGGCGGUCUCCUCCCAAAGCGUAACGGAGGAGCACGAAGGUUAGCUAAUCCUGGUCGGACAUCAGGAGGUUAGUGCAAUGGCAUAAGCUAGCUUGACUGCGAGCGUGACGGCGCGAGCAGGUGCGAAAGCAGGUCAUAGUGAUCCGGUGGUUCUGAAUGGAAGGGCCAUCGCUCAACGGAUAAAAGGUACUCCGGGGAU
rnacentral:rRNA from 1 species